rnacentral:tRNA from 1 species
GGUCUCGUAGUUCAAUGGAUAGAAUGAAAGAUUCCGGUUCUUUUGAUGUGGGUUCGAUUCCCGCCGAGAUCACCA